rnacentral:rRNA from 1 species
CCUACGGGUGGCAGCAGUGAGGAAUAUUGGUCAAUGGACGCAAGUCUGAACCAGCCAUGCCGCGUGCAGGAUGACGGCUCUAUGAGUUGUAAACUGCUUUUGUACGAGGGUAAACCGAGAUACGUGUAUCGGGUUGAAAGUAACGUACGAAUAAGGAUAGGCUAACUCCGUGCCAGCAGCCGCGGUAAUACGGAGGAUCCGAGCGUUAUCCGGCUUUAUUGGGUUUAACGGGUGCGUAGGCGGUUUGGUAAGUUAGAGGUGAAAUGUCGGGGCUCAACCCCGAAACUGCCUCUCAUACUGUUGGCCUAGAUAAUAGUUGCGGUAGGCGGAAUGUAUGGUGUAGCGGUGAAAUGCUUCGAGAUCAUCC